CUGCAGUGCGGGCGUGCUAAUACAUGCAAGUCGAGCGCGGGAAGCCGGCGGACUCCUUCGGGAGGAAACCGGUGGAACGAGCGGCGGACGGGUGAGUAACACGUGGGCAACCUGCCGGACUGAUGGGAAUAACCCCGGGAAACCGGGGCUAAUGCCCAAUACGCCCUGACCUCGCCUGAGGUCAGCGGCAAAGCAGGGAUCUUCGGAUCCUUGCACAGUCCGAUGGGCCCGCGGCGCAUUAGCUAGUUGGAGAGGUAAGGGCUCCCCAAGGCGACGAUGCGUAGCCGACCUGAGAGGGUGAUCGGCCACACUGGGACUGAGACACGGCCCAGACUCCUACGGGAGGCAGCAGUAGGGAAUCAUCCGCAAUGGGCGAAAGCCUGACGGUGCAACGCCGCGUGAGUGAUGAAGGUUUUCGGAUCGUAAAGCUCUGUUGACAGGGAAGAACCCACGCCAGUCGAACAGGCUGGCGUGCUGACGGUACCUGUCCAGAAAGCCCCGGCUAACUACGUGCCAGCAGCCGCGGUAAUACGUAGGGGGCAAGCGUUGUCCGGAAUUAUUGGGCGUAAAGGGCACGCAGGCGGUUUCGUCAGUCCGAUGUGACAGGCCACGGCUCAACCGUGGAAGGCCAUUGGAAACUGCGAAACUUGAGGACAGAAGAGGAGAGUGGAAUUCCACGUGUAGCGGUGAAAUGCGUAGAUAUGUGGAGGAACACCAGUGGCGAAGGCGACUCUCUGGUCUGUACCUGACGCUGAGGUGCGAAAGCAUGGGGAGCAAACAGGAUUAGAUACCCUGGUAGUCCAUGCCGUAAACGCUGAGUGCUAGGUGUUAGGGGUUUCGAUACCCGUAGUGCCGAAGCUAACGCAUUAAGCACUCCGCCUGGGGAGUACGACCGCAAGGUUGAAACUCAAAGGAAUUGACGGGGCCCGCACAAGCGGUGGAGCAUGUGGUUUAAUUCGACGCAACGCGAAGAACCUUACCAGAUCUUGACAUCUUCCGCUACGCCUCGAGAGAGCGGUUCCCCUUUCGGGGGACGGAAUGACAGUGGUGCAUGGUUGUCGUCAGCCCGUGUCGUGAGAUGUUGGGUUUAAGUCCCGCAACGAGCGCCACCCCUUAAUCUUAGUGCCAGCCAUUCAGUUGGGCACUCUAGGUGACUGCCGGUGACCAACUCGGAGGAGUUGGGAAUGAACGUCCAAAUUCAUUCAUGGCCCUUUAGAUCUGCUAACACACUUGCUCACAUGGAAUGGUUACACUGUGAACCGGCAACCCCCGUCAGAGGU
rnacentral:rRNA from 1 species